AUUCAUAUAGUUUAAAUUUAAACAUUUUAUUUUCAUUAAAAAGUUGGUUUAUAAAACCUAUGAAUU
rnacentral:tRNA from 1 species